GGAGGAUACCUGGCAGUUCACCGCGAGACGUUUCCGUGUGAUAACGUUUUUCGUUUAUCGCGUUUAACAAGUGCAAUGCAACGCGUAACACUGCCCUGUACUAUAAACACUAGGGUUUUUAACAUUGAGUUUAGUCCCACUUGGAAUGGUCUUAAAUAGCUCUAGAAAGUGAACGGAACCAUGCAGGAGAGUAAUUCUUGACACAAAUUGGGUUUUGCACAUGAACCUGACAUCGUAGGAGAACCAUUCUUUCAUCAGAUUAUAGGU